CUUCUCAACUUCUAUCUGUUAUGUUAGUUAUGGCAGUUGUGUCAAUUUGCAGCCCAAUGGGUGUCACCAAAACAGGAAAUCAAUUUUCAUUUAGGACACAAUUUGUUUGGGAUAAGUGCAAAAAAAACCCCUUCAUACAUAUGAAUAGUGUAAAAUUAGUUUCUAUUUUUUUAGAAUGUGCACGUUAGCACAUAAAAUUCAAAAACUAAAUAUGAAAACUUUAUUUUGCCUUUUUAAUUUCAAUUUUGCCCCUCACACAUUAGUAUACACUAAACGGCCCGGCUCGCCCGAGAUGUGACCUGAUUAUCACCGAAAACUUUGCCGGAAUCGGAUUUUCGUCGAAAAAAACGAGUGGGGCACGUGACAGAGCGUGGCGUGAGAUCUACGCGCUAUAUUUCAGGUGGCGCGUGCAAACGCGUGUAACGUUGUUUGUGGCUUUUAUUUACAGCGUUGUGUUCGUCUUGAUCUCGUGGAUCUUAUUCUGCGAUUAAUAUGUGAUUUUGAUCACCUUUAAUUUAUGCUUUGCUGGCUCUCUGUAAAGUUCCAUCAAAGCUCAAGAACCCAAGAGAUCCAUCAAUAACAAGCCCUAAAAGCAACCAUACCAAUAGAAUCAAAGCUCAGUUGUCGACUAUAACGGUGAUAAGGUCCUCUCUUUCUUCAAGCUUGAGCUUGGGAAUGACGUUCCUUAUCUGAGCCUCGAUCUGGUCCAUCUUAUAGUACUCACCUUCUGGAAUUGGGAUUGACCCAAAGUACUUCCUCGAACCAAAGCUCCAUCAAAACCGUCUUCCACUUCUUCAGCUUUGAUGUGGAGAAAGUGGGUUUCAGCCCAAACCCUCAAAUCGUCCUUAGAAAUACCAGGAAGCUAGAUCAAAGCAGAGGAGGUGCAGAUUACUGGAAAGUAUCUCAUAUCCCAGAGGUUCGAUUUGCAGCCUUUGUAGACGGUGAUUGGGAGGUGUACAAAAUCUGAGAAACACGGUGCAAGAGAGAUGAAGGCGAUCAUAGAUUACCUCAACUGCCCACAUUGCCUUUUCCUUUUUCCAUUUCAGGCUUUUUUUUUUUUUUUUU